rnacentral:misc_RNA from 1 species
AGCAGAUGAACGGUUUAACAAAUCCCGGUAGCAAAUUCAGGCGACUGCUUCAUGGAAGCAGCUUGAAUCAUCACAAAAUCAAUGAAAUCAGACAAACACCCAAGCAAAUUGUUGGUGUAAGUGAUUCCAAAUUUCCCCUUCCGCAUCGCCUCUUUAAAGAUCUCAGAGGUCACCUUCCGGCGAAUCUCGAGAGCCCUCCUUAU